GAACUUACCUGGCAGGGGAGAUACCAUGAUCAUGAAGGUGGUUUUCCCAGGGUGAGGCUCAUCCAUUGCACUGUGGGUGUGCUGACCCCUGCGAUUUCCCCUAAAUGCAGGAAACUCGUCUGCAUAAUUUGUGGUAGUGGGGGACUGCGUUCAUGCUUUCCCCCG
rnacentral:snRNA from 1 species